rnacentral:rRNA from 1 species
UACGUAGGUGGCAAGCGUUGUUCGGAUUUAUUGGGUUUAAAGGGUGCGUAGGUGGUCUAUUAAGUCAGUGCUGAAAUAUCCCGGCUUAACCGGGAGGGUGGCAUUGAUACUGAUGGACUUGAGUAAAGUUGAGGUGGGCGGAAUUGACGGUGUAGCGGUGAAAUGCUUAGAUAUCGUCAAGAACACCUAUUGCGAAGGCAGCUCACUAAGCUUUAACUGACACUGAGGCACGAAAGUGUGGGGAUCAAACAGG